rnacentral:rRNA from 1 species
UACAGAGGUGGCAAGCGUUGUUCGGAAUUACUGGGCGUAAAGGGCGCGUAGGCGGCCAUCUAAGUCAGACGUGAAAUCCCCAGGCUCAACCUGGGAACUGCAUCCGAUACUGGAUGGCUUGAAUUCGGGAGAGGGAUGCAGAAUUCCAGGUGUAGCGGUGAAAUGCGUAGAUAUCUGGAGGAAUACCGGUGGCGAAGGCGGCAUCCUGGACCGACAUUGACGCUGAUGAGCGAAAGCUAGGGGAGCAAACGGG